GCUCUGGGUUUCCCAAUUCCGCCCCUUCCUGCUCGUCUUCAAACCCCCGGGAAACUGUAGACACGCUGCUGGGAGAAAGCAUGGAGCCCUUUCGGAGGACUUGCUGUAUUGCAGGGACGAAGUGCGGGGCCAGCUGAUUGUAUUGCGCGGAUCCGAGUGAUCUCAGUCGGGUGGAACCUUUUCUGCUGGUGUUCGGCCUCUGUCAGGGCAAAACAUCCUGAUCUUGGGAUCACUGGAGGACAAGAACUAUAAAA